AGAGAUGUUCCAUCUGCAAAAUAAUCAAUCGAGAGAUAUCAACUUAGACAUCAUGUACACCGUCUCAAUCUUCAUAUACGUCACACUAACUUUGAAGUAAAUCAAACUUUGGCACCAGAAUCGCUACCAGUUACCUUUUGAGUGACGUGCACCAAACCCGUGUCUGUCCGUUUGAAACGUAUCUGAGGACAUUACAAUAGCCGAAGUAUUAGAUUACGGGUGACUGGAAACGAGACACGUUCAUAUAAAGAAUUAGUCACAACUGUACAGGAUAAUUAAAUACAAUGAGCUACCAACAUAAAACAAUUCACAUAUUGCUUAUACCCUGGCUUAUAAAACCAUCAAACCAUGCAUAAAAAUCGAUUCGUUCAGAUAUCAAAACAACCACAGUUUAGUACUAAACGGACACAUUGAAGAUUCCAACAGCUCAUGACUACCCGUAUUAUACGACUAAUAGGCCCUAUGUAGGCGAAAACAGGGAUUUCCUUAAAAAUGUCUACGACGUCAGAACAAGCUGAAGAUGAAAUAGACCUCUCACCAGAUCAGAUAGCUGAAUUUCAGGAGGCAUUUAGCCUUUUUGAUAAAGAUGGUGAUGGUACAGUGUCGGCAAAGGAACUUGGAACGGUCAUGAAGGCUCUGGGACAGAACCCAUCAGAUGCCGAACUACAAGAGAUGAUAAAAGAAGUAGAUACUGAUGGUAAGGUAAACGCAUCAAUAACAAUAAUGAACAAUCGA